CGGGUGAGUAAUGUAUGGGGAUCUGCCUGAUGGCGGGGGGUAACUACUGGAAACGGUAGCUAAUACCGCAUAAUGUCUGCGGACCAAAGCGGGGGACCUCCGGGCCUCGCGCCAUCAGAUGAACCCAUAUGGGAUUAGCUAGUAGGUGAGGUAACGGCUUACCUAGGCGACGAUCCCUAGCUGGUCUGAGAGGAUGACCAGCCACACUGGAACUGAGACACGGUCCAG
rnacentral:rRNA from 1 species